CACGAAGAGGCCCAGGCAGUAAUCAACAUCCCGACCUUAGCUUUUAACUACAUCCUUUUGGGGAGGGGAGACGAUGAAAGCACCAGGAGGAAGGUGUAUUCCACCCAACACGUCAUUGACUUCAACUGCAGCCUAGUCCACCUUCCUUCCCAAACCGGCCUCUCUCGCCCCGGUGAGCCCCCUCCUCUUUCCUGUCACCAAAGGCCAGAGCCACCACCUACCCACCACUCCUCACGGACCCCGGCCCAAGUCGCGCCUCCUGGAGGCCUUGGCUGCCCGAAACUCGGCCCUUUCCGCAACGGGAAGCCCCGGUCUCCAGAAACCGACCAGCUGCUGUCGCCAGGGGGCAGUAUGUGUGUCUUCACAGGGCUUCAGAAAGAUGGAUGACUAAGUCCAGUGAUUAUAAUAAGUCCAGGUAUUAUUAGCACCCUUGGUGUCUCCCUACAAUUAGAGUCUCUACUUUUCAUUCCAGGUAAGCACAUGCCUCAGUGUCCACCAUUCCAUUUUUCUAGUUCUUUGCAUACCACCCUUAUCAUUAGACACUCAGGCAGCUGAACAAUCUAUGGAGAAGAGUGUUUUCCAAAUUUAAUGUGCCUGUCCUUGCUGUUCUUCCAUUACUACUCUUAAGUGGGGGCAAAACCCAAAACAAAACAGGAAACUCAAGAAUUGAGCAAUUCAUUCUUCUCCAGGCAGGAAUUCGUACAGGUGUCUACCAGGUGAGGGCCUUUACCGUGAUUUUAUUAAGAUGGUGCAAAAGUAAUUGCAGUUUAAAAGGUUAAAAAUAAUUGCAAAAACCACAAUUACUUUUAUACCAACCUAUAACUGUAAAGCUGUCUUGGUGUGGUCUAUGGUCUUGAUUUUGUCUGAGGUCUUGGCUGUGCUGGUGAUGCUGGGAUACUCCCGUAGAGAGAAAUCUGUCCUGAAAAUGACUCCUAUAGCUUUUCCUAACUUCUGAUGAUCUCCAGAGACUUCUUUCUAAUGUCUCUACUUUGAACUAUGUAUUACUUUGGAAGAG
rnacentral:lncRNA from 1 species